CCUACGGGGGGCUGCAGUCGAGAAUCAUUCACAAUGGGGGAAACCCUGAUGGUGCGACGCCGCGUGGGGGAAUGAAGGUCUUCGGAUUGUAAACCCCUGUCAUGUGGGAGCAAAUUAAAAAGAUAGUACCACAAGAGGAAGAGACGGCUAACUCUGUGCCAGCAGCCGCGGUAAUACAGAGGUCUCAAGCGUUGUUCGGAAUCACUGGGCGUAAAGCGUGCGUAGGCUGUUUCGUAAAUCGUGUGUGAAAGGCGCGGGCUCAACCCGCGGACGGCACAUGAUACUGCGAGACUAGAGUAAGGGAGGGGGAACCGGAAUUCUCGGUGUAGCAGUGAAAUGCGUAGAUAUCGAGAGGAACACUCGUGGCGAAGGCGGGUUCCUGGACAUUAACUGACGCUGAGGCACGAAGGCCAGGGGAGCGAAAGGGAUUAGAUACCCCUGUAGUC
rnacentral:rRNA from 1 species